GCCUUAGUGUCCACUUUAUUAUACCUUCCAAAUACGACUCACAUGCUUAUUAUGCACUACUGUAUCGUAAAAGUAGAUGAAAAACCACCUGAAGAAGUAUGUACAUGGUCCAGAACACGGGCUCUGGAGUUCCUGUGUGACUUUGGACGAGUUGAUCACCUUAAACCUCUACUGCUCAUUUGUGAAGGAGAGAGAAUAGCAACACCUGUCCAAGGAUUUCGAGGAUUUGCAACAAUCCACGGUUCAACAAGGGUGCACAGAGACCCAAGAGUGUGGAAGAGGAAGCCAUAGAGUGAUGGAAUAAAUAACUGGUUUCCUUGAAAAUGAAUGGCAAAGUCAUCUGGUACAUUUUCCCUCCUUUUUUUAGCACUAAGUUCAUUGACCUGACUACUCAGA
rnacentral:lncRNA from 1 species